GAUUUUGAGAAAUUGUAUCCCUCCUUAAAUAUAGCACCAGCUUGCCUCAACCUUUAUAGGUUCUUCUUGAAAAAUAUGCUGGAAGCCCAUUCUAAUGCGAGCCUCUUUAGAGAUUUAGCAGAUCUCUUAUGCAAUAAAUCCUGUUUUUGUUUAAAGAAUAACUUCUAUAGGCAGACAAAAAGGGUGUCCAUAGAUAGUCCUCUUGCAGAGGUUUUGGCAGAGUUGGUGUUAAGAACGCUGGAGACAACUUCCUUGAGUGCGGUGCUACAAGAAACAAAAUUGUAUCUAAGAUAUGUCUGUAAAAACUGGGAAACCUCCCAAGUUUUCACCUUCAGUUCGACCCCUUGUUUUUCGAUUAGCACUUA
rnacentral:lncRNA from 1 species